GAUGAACGCUGGCGGCGUGCCUAAUACAUGCAAGUCGAACGAGGUGCUUUUGUAGCAAUACGAGAGUAUCCUAGUGGCGAACGGGUGAGUAACGCGUUGGUGACCUGCCCCAAAGUGUGGGAUAACAGUCCGAAAGGAUUGCUAAUACCGCAUGUGGUCUCUGGGUUUAGAAACCGGUGACUAAAGGAGUAAUUCGCUUUGGGAGGGACCUGCGUCCCAUCAGCUAGUUGGUGAGGUAACGGCUCACCAAGGCGACGACGGGUAGGGGACCUGAGAGGGUGACCCCCCACAAUGGAACUGAAACACGGUCCAUACACCUACGGGUGGCAGCAGUAGGGAAUAUUGGUCAAUGGGCGAAAGCCUGAACCAGCAACGCCGCGUGUGCGAUGAAGGCCUUCGGGUCGUAAAGCACUUUUCUGGGAGAUGAGAAAGGACAGUAUCCCAGGAAUAAGUCUCGGCUAACUACGUGCCAGCCGCCGCGGUAAAAC
rnacentral:rRNA from 1 species